AGCGAUAUGUAGGCGAGAAGAAGCGAUGGCAAAAUUGCUGCCUGACGAACAGAAAACUGAUACUUAUGAAUGCAUGGCGGAGGAUUUGGCAUAAGGCAGUGAAGUCCAAAAUACAACCAUAACCUAUAUAUAAAUCAGUUAGAGA
rnacentral:ncRNA from 1 species